GCGGCUGUGGUCUAGACUGGUCUAGGACAGGGGCCCCCCAAGCCCCUAACCCGGGUUCAAAUCCCGGCAGCCGCA
rnacentral:tRNA from 1 species